CAGCAGCCACGGGAACACGGAGGGUGCAAGCGUUAAUCGGAAUUACUGGGCGUAAAGCGCACGCAGGCGGUCUGACAAGUCAGAUGUGAAAUCCCCGGGCUUAACCUGGGAACUGCAUUUGAAACUGUCAGGCUGGAGUCUUGUAGAGGGGGGUGGAAUUCCAGGUGUAGCGGUGAAAUGCGUAGAGAUCUGGAGGAAUACCGGUGGCGAAGGCGGCCCCCUGGACAAAGACUGACGCUCAGGUGCGAAAGCGUGGGGAGCAAACAGGAUUAGAUACCCGCGUAGUCCCUGUCUCUUAUAC
rnacentral:rRNA from 1 species